UACGUGGGGUGCAAGCGUUGUCCGGAAUCAUUGGGCGUAAAGCGCGCGUAGGCGGCCCUGUAAGUCCGUUGUGAAAGUCAAAGGCUCAACCUUUGAAAGCCGAUGGAUACUGCAGGGCUGGAGUCCGGAAGAGGCGAGUGGAAUUCCUGGUGUAGCGGUGGAAUGCGCAGAUAUCAGGAGGAAUACCAGAGGCGAAGGCGGCCAACUGGGCUUGUUCUGACGCUGAGGUGCGAAAGCGUGGGGAGCGAACAGG
rnacentral:rRNA from 1 species